AUUGCUUCUUGGCCUUUUGGCUAAGAUCAAGUAUAUUAAAUAAUUCAUUUUCCAAAGUGGGUGUAACAAUUUAUACUCUUACCGGUGGUAUGUAAGAAUUCCAUUAGUCUACCAUGAUUGCUAUUGUC
ensembl:snRNA U2 U2 spliceosomal RNA